GACGAACGCUGGCGGCGUGCUUAACACAUGCAAGUCGAACGGAAAGGCCCUGCUUGCAGGGUACUCGAGUGGCGAACGGGUGAGUAACACGUGGGUGAUCUGCCCUGCACUUCGGGAUAAGCCUGGGCAACUGGGUCUAAUACCGGAUAGGAGCCAUUUUUAGUGUGAUGGUUGGAAAGUUUUUUCGGUGUUUGAUGAGCUCGCUGCCUAUCAGCUUGUUGGUGGGGUAAUGGCCUACCAAGGCGGCGACGGGUAGCCGGACUGAGAGGGUGGACGGCCACAUUGGGACUGAGAUACGGCCCAGACUCCUACGGGAGGCAGAAGUGGGGAAUAUUGCACAAGGGGCGCAAGCCUGAUGCAGAGACGCCGCGUGGCGGAGGACGGCCUUAGGGUUGUAAACUAAAUUCGCUAGGGACGAAGCUUUUUGUGACGGUACCUAGAUAAGAAGCACCGGCUAACUACGUG
rnacentral:rRNA from 1 species